rnacentral:lncRNA from 10 species
GGGAAAUUAAAGCAGGAAGAUAGACUUGCUGGUGCAUAUCCAACAUUCUCUUCACUCCCAAAUCCUGGGGACAGGAAGAAACUGUUGAACAUUUUGAAUCACCGAAUCAAAUGUGACAAAAUCUCUGCUAAGGUUUGGCUAAGAAUGUAGAAUGUGAAUUAGAAGAUGGAUUUGAAAGUACCUUGCAAAUUACAAUGUGCUGGACACACAGAAGGCAUCAUUGUUGGGAGUGUUGCUUCCUGGAAUAGUAAAAGCAGCCCCGAUUUAAGGAAGGCAUCUAGAAUCAUCUGUUUUCUAGCUGACUACUCAGGUAAGUACUUACGGGGCUUCCUCUUUGACAAGAAAAUCAGAUGGU